UACGGGGGGAGCAAGCGUUGUUCGGAUUUACUGGGCGUAAAGGGCGCGUAGGCGGCCACCGCAAGUCGACUGUGAAAUCUCCGGGCUUAACCCGGAAAGGUCAGCCGAUACUGCGGGGCUAGAGUGCAGAAGGGGCAACUGGAAUUCUCGGUGUAGCGGUGAAAUGCGUAGAUAUCGAGAGGAACACCUGCGGCGAAGGCGGCAUCCUGGACCGGUAUUGACGCUGAGGCGCGAAAGCCAGGGGAGCAAACGGG
rnacentral:rRNA from 1 species